GCCAUAAACUCCGCCUACAAACCCAAUAUAUUAUUAACAACAUAAAACAUUUAAACAAUCAAGUAAAGGCGAUUGAAAACUUAAUUAGAGCAAUAUAUACAGUACCGCAAGGGAAAAGUGAAAUAGAAAUGAAACAAACUAAAAGCCCCAAAAAGCAGAGAUUAACACUCGUACCUUUUGCAUCAUGAUCUAGCUAGUCUAAACAAGCAAAUUAUAAUAUUCAGCUUGUACCCCCGAAACCCGACGAGCUACUUAAAAACAGCUAUUAGAGCCAACUCACCUCUGUUGCAAAAGAGUGAGAAGAUUUUUAAGUAGGGGUGACAUGCCUACCGAGUCGGGAAAUAGCUGGUUGCUCAAGAAAGAACUUUAGUUCUACCUCAAAUUACAACAUAACAACAAAUACAUUUGAGAUUUACUCAAAUAAGGUACAGCCUAUUUGACACCGGACACAACCUAAAACUAAGGGUAAUGUUAAUCCCUCUUUCCCCCAGUAGGCCUAAAAGCAGCCACCUUUAAAACAGCGUUACAGCUUAACUAAUUCAUUAAAUAAUAACUUACUUAACACCAAACCCUACCUCAACACUGAGCACUUCUAUAACCUAUAAAUGUUAUUAUGCUAGAACUAGUAACAAGAAAACUUCUCCUAAAUGUAAGUAUACAUCAAUUCUGAUAUUUACUACCAUAAAUGUAAUAAACUCCUUCCCCGAAACCCCUACAUUCUCUCAUAUUAAACUUACACAAGAACACUACAGGAAAGAUUAAAACAAAAAGAAGGAACUCGGCAAACUUUAGUCUCGCCUGUUUACCAAAAACAUCACCUCUUGAUUAAUUAUAAGAGGCCCAGCCUGCCCAGUGAUCAUUUUAACGGCCGCGGUAUCCUAACCGUGCAAAGGUAGCAUAAUCACUUGUUCUUUAAAUAGGGACUAGUAUGAACGGCAUCACGAAGACUACACUGUCUCCUUUCUGCAAUCAGUGAAACUGAUCUCCCCGUGAAGAAGCGGGGAUUAAUAUAUAAGACGAGAAGACCCCAUGAAGCUUUAAAUUAAAUAUUAACUGUUAUCUCAACACCAAUUUAACUUAACAGACCUGAUUAUUAAUUUUAGGUUGGGGUGACCACGGAGUAAAAUAAAACCUCCACAAUGAAAAGACCUAAAUCCCUUAUCCAAGAGGAACAACUCUAAUAAUCAAUAUAUUGACAUAACUUGACCCAAUCCUUGAUCAAUGAACCAAGUUACUCUGGGGAUAACAGCGCAAUCCAUUUUAAGAGCCCAUAUCGACAAAUGGGUUUACGACCUCGAUGUUGGAUCAGGGUAUCCCAGUGGUGCAACCGCUACUAAAGGCUCGUUUGUUCAACGAUUAAAACCCU
rnacentral:rRNA from 1 species